CACCACCACUAUAGUGCUCUGGACCCAUCAUUCUAAUCUGACCUCGGAAGUUAAGCAGGUUCAACUCUGGUUAGUACUUGGAUGAGAGUCCCCAAAAAACACAAAGAUGGCCAUGU
rnacentral:rRNA from 1 species